GAAAAAUGCAGGAGGAGGAGUAAGUGGUAACGACUGAAAAACAUAUACAAAUUUCGGAAGUAUGAAUGUAAUAAAGGUGACCAUAC